rnacentral:piRNA from 1 species
UGGUUACUAGAGAACAUGUUAUGCAAA